GGCUCAGGAUGAACGCUGGCGGCGUGCUUAACACAUGCAAGUCGAACGAUGAAGCCCAGCUUGCUGGGUGGAUUAGUGGCGAACGGGUGAGUAACACGUGAGCAACCUGCCCCUGACUCUGGGAUAAGCGCUGGAAACGGCGUCUAAUACUGGAUACGAACCAUGAAGGCAUCUUCAGUGGUUGGAAAGAUUUAUUGGUUGGGGAUGGGCUCGCGGCCUAUCAGCUUGUUGGUGAGGUAAUGGCUCACCAAGGCGUCGACGGGUAGCCGGCCUGAGAGGGUGACCGGCCACACUGGGACUGAGACACGGCCCAGACUCCUACGGGAGGCAGCAGUGGGGAAUAUUGCACAAUGGGCGCAAGCCUGAUGCAGCAACGCCGCGUGAGGGAUGACGGCCUUCGGGUUGUAAACCUCUUUUAGCAGGGAAGAAGCGAAAGUGACGGUACCUGCAGAAAAAGCACCGGCUAACUACGUGCCAGCAGCCGCGGUAAUACGUAGGGUGCAAGCGUUAUCCGGAAUUAUUGGGCGUAAAGAGCUCGUAGGCGGUUUGUCGCGUCUGCUGUGAAAUCUGGGGGCUCAACCCCCAGCCUGCAGUGGGUACGGGCAGACUAGAGUGCGGUAGGGGAGAUUGGAAUUCCUGGUGUAGCGGUGGAAUGCGCAGAUAUCAGGAGGAACACCGAUGGCGAAGGCAGAUCUCUGGGCCGUAACUGACGCUGAGGAGCGAAAGGGUGGGGAGCAAACAGGCUUAGAUACCCUGGUAGUCCACCCCGUAAAC
rnacentral:rRNA from 1 species